rnacentral:lncRNA from 1 species
ACUGGCUCCGCGUCGGCCGGUCGGUUUGGUCGGUUGUAGUGGCCUCGCCGCCCGGUCCGCUGUCGCAGCGCUCAUCCGCGCCGGGAGCCCUUGGCUGCGUCGCCCGGCAGCCGCGCCUCGCGAGACCGCUGUCUACGGCGCUGACGCCGCCUCUGCCUCUUGACCCCUUGGCCCCGCUGUCCUGAUCCCUGAGGUCGGGGCCUGGUCUGCACUCCAGGAAAGACGAGUGCGCUUAGUGUGCGCUGCACGUGAGCAGUGAAGUUGAUUCCACGCGCUGCGCUGCUCGGCAGCUGUCCCAGAACUGACCACGGACCCCUCCGCGGGUCCUGCUCCUGACAAGGGCCUUCCGGCACUGGGAGUUUUGUGUUAGUGGAAAGGAAGAAUCUAAUAAUACCACCACCUUUACAGUAAAGACGCUGCGAAUUGACGCCUUUUAUAAUAAAGACACUUAUCUUGCCCAAGAGCUGGGCAGGCUGAUUGGCGCUGGUUUCCAUCUGUCAGAUUGGACAGCAGUACCACUGGCUGUUGGGGGCUCACGACCAGAUAGAGUCUUGUCUG